UACAGAGGGGGCAAGCGUUGUUCGGAAUUACUGGGCGUAAAGGUCGCGUAGGCGGCCUGCUAAGUCGAACGUGAAAUCCCUGGGCUCAACCCAGGAACUGCGUCCGAUACUGGUUGGCUUGAAUCCGGGAGAGGGAUGUGGAAUUCCAGGUGUAGCGGUGAAAUGCGUAGAUAUCUGGAGGAACACCGGUGGCGAAGGCGACAUCCUGGACCGGUAUUGACGCUGAGGCGCGAAAGCCAGGGGAGCAAACGGG
rnacentral:rRNA from 1 species